rnacentral:lncRNA from 1 species
GGCUUUGUCUGGGGCCCAGCACACAAUCUACUCUCAAGCAAGGUCUUCCUAUCUGGAGGCAGGACGACCACCAGCAGCUCCAGGUUUCAUUCUGCUGGCUUCGCCACCUCGAAGAAAGAGAGCCUGGCCCAAUUUCCAGGUAAAGCUCUCACCACUGGCCCCGCCAAGGUCAUGACCCACGCUGAUGGGCCAGGCUCGCCCCUUGCUCAUCCUUGACUGGAGAGGAGAGGAUGUUCACAUCCACGUGCAGCACCUGGACUGAGAGCCAGAGACGGACUGUUCCCCCGGAGAACAGAGGAGCUGUGACCAGUGAAAAGAGAAUGGAUGCUGCACACACCACAGCUGGAGCUGUCGCCCGGCAGAGAGCAGGCCCGUGUGUACCAGGCCCAGGGAGGCCAGGAGACGGCUGGAGCCACACAGCUGGUCUGUGACGUUCCUUCCCAACCCGGAACUUUCGCCACCUCCCCACCUUGUUUAUUUGACGUAAAGGCUGAACAGUGGCUCCCAGAGAUGUCCACGCUCUGACCCCGCCACCUGCGAACGUGACGUGGGAAAGGGGCUUUGCGGGUGUGACUCAGCCAAGGAUCUCGAGACGGAGAUCGUCCUGGAUUACCUGGGCCGGCCCAGUGUCAUCACAAGGGUCCCUGUAAGAGGGAGGCGGGAGGUCAGAGAGGAGAGAAGAGGCUGCGUGGAGGGUCUCAGAUGAGAAGGGGCCGUGGCGCCAGGAACGCCGCUCCCCCAGGAGCCGAAAGAGGCCGGACGCGCCCUGCCCGGAGCCGCAGGAGGAACCCGCCCUGCCCGCGCCUCCACUUAGACCCAUCUGGACUUCUGCCCUCCAGGGCACGUCUCCCUGUAAAGCACUGAGUGUGGCCCUUUGUCACAUUCACACAAGGCCACCCACCGCCCUGGGGCAGGAGGCAACACCCCGGGGUCCAGGAGCCUCCAGAGAGCACAGAGAGGGCACAUUUCUGUGCUGCCUCCGUUCCAGAUCGAUUACGGUGCAGAAAGGAAAUCCGCCCGGACGCUUACCCGGAGCAGAAGCCAGCGGGGAGCCCCCGGGCUGCGCACGCUGCUCUCAACUGCGCCCCACAGACCCGGCCGCCCCAGGACCACAGCACUGCAGCCUCCAUGGGGUCCCCCGGUCUCCCACCGCGGGCACGUGACUGACGGACUGACAGCCCGGCUGCUGCGCUCUGAACUCGCCCUGCGUCCCCCGGGUGCUCCCCACCAACAACUGAGCGUGGAAGGGACAUGAAAGCAGCCCCAGGCGUGGGGCACCCCCAGGGGCCUGGCUCCAGGACUCCCCCUCG